AGGAAAAACUGUUUAUUUAUUGACGUACAUGUACAGUAUAUCACAUUACUUACAGUUGAAAUGAAAAAAUAUGUACAUAGAAUCUGUUAUUAUGAUAUUUUUUUAGCCAAACCGUUUAAGACAAACUGUGUAGAAACAAACAGAGGCGAGGGAUACCAUGUCCUACAGCAGCAGGGUCAUCAGACAUGUAACGCAAUAAUACAAACAGAAUGGGUUCACAAAUGAUCCAUCUCUGACAUCAGUGUGUGAACCGCUGCAUGUACUCAGGUUUACCAGUGUACUCCAGUGUGUGAACCGCUGCAUGUACUCAGGUUUACCAGUGUAAUCCAGCAUGUGUACCGCUGCAUGUACUCAGGUUUACCAGUGUACUCCAGUGUGUGAACCGCUGCAUGUACUCAGGUUUACCAGUGUACUCCAGUGUGUGCACCGCUGCAUGUACUCAGGUUUACCAGUGUACUCCAGUGUGUGAACCGCUGCAUGUACUCAGGUUUACCAGUGUACUCCAGUGUGUGAACCGCUGCAUGUACUCAGGUUUACCAGUGUACUCCAGUGUGUGAACCGCUGCAUGUACUCAGGUUUACCAGUGUACUCCAGUGUGUGAACCGCUGCAUGUACUCAGGUUUACCAGUGUACUCCAGCGUGUGUACCGCUGCAUGUACUCAGGUUUACCAGUGUACUCCAGCGUGUGUACCGCUGCAUGUACUCAGGUUUACCAGUGUACUCCAGCGUGUGCACCGCUGCAUGUACUCAGGUUUACCAGUGUACUCCAGUGUGUGUACCGCUGCAUGUACUCAGGUUUACCAGUGUACUCCAGCGUGUGUACCGCUGCAUGUACUCAGGUUUACCAGUGUACUCCAGUGUGUGCACCGCUGCAUGUACUCAGGUUUACCAGUGUACUCCAGUGUGUGCACCGCUGCAUGUACUCAGGUUUACCAGUGUACUCCAGUGUGUGAACCGCUGCAUGUACUCAGGUUUACCAGUGUACUCCAGUGUGUGCACCGCUGCAUGUACUCAGGUUUACCAGUGUACUCCAGUGUGUUAAGACCUGUUCAAUUAAAGUCUCUAAAGAAAGAAUGUGAAACUGUAUCAAAGACACAGGCCAGAUCAGUGUACAACAACAAAAAUGUAUUUCAGAUAUCAUACGAACAAGUAUGAAAAUGUAUGCACUCGCAUACUGUAAGUCGCCCUGGAUAAGAGUGUCUUCUAAAUGACUCAAAAUAUAAAUACAAAAAAUGUGUAUCAUAUAAGUUACCCAUAAAUGCUGUUUUAUAGUACUGUGAAUCAAACAGAGUAUCCUGAAGUAUUGCUUUUGACUGCUGAUUGCUAUUGUAACUGGUACUUCCUGUGCUGGUGUGCUUUUAUAGUGGUGAAGGCCACUGUAUCGUCGUAUCUGGAGAAUGUGUUAUUGAAGUAGUUUUCAGGUUGUCAUGUGGUUCGCUCAGCUUCUUCACACUUGAUGUAGCUGUUUGCUGGAGAUCAAUGGAGCGGCAGGUAGCUUAGUGGUUUGAGCGUUGGGCCAGUCACCAAAAGGUUGCUAGAUCAAAUCCCUGAGCUGACAAGGUAA